UACGUAGGCAGCGAGCGUUGUUCGGAGUUACUGGGCGUAAAGAGCGCGUAGGCGGUUUUCUAAGUUUGGUGUGAAAUCUCCCGGCUUAACUGGGAGGGUGCGCCGAAGACUGGAAGGCUUGAGUAUGGGAGAGGUAAGCGGAAUUCCUGGUGUAGCGGUGAAAUGCGUAGAUAUCAGGAGGAACACCUGCGGUGUAGACGGCUUACUGGACCAUAACUGACGCUGAGGCACGAAAGCGUGGGUAGCAAACAGG
rnacentral:rRNA from 1 species